GUUCAAAUUUCAAUUUCCUAUAGCAUUUUAGUACCUGGCUUUAUACAAAAUUUGUUAGAUGUCGUUUAAGGUUUUAAAGUAAAAUUUAAGGCGAUAAAUGAUAACGCCGAUCGCUAUUAUUGGAAUAAUUGGGUAUUGUUGCUUCGCACUUGGUCGUUGUUGCAUCCAUUUUGAUAUUAAUCGAGUGCGAAUAUAAAAGUAAUUGAGUUAUCCUUAGUAAAGGUAGUUAGAAGUAUCUAAUUAGCAUUGUCUUAGAAGACUUGAUAACUCAAGAAUUAAUUGAUUUAAACAGCAACUUAUAUCUGCAGGCCGCCCGUUAUCUCAGGCCUGUUUAUUUUUCCGUUUUCUUUCCCAUUUUGGGAUUUCGCCUACUUUUGAUUUGGAAUCGUAUAUAAAGGAGUUCGUCCGAAAAUUAGACGUACCCUAUCACCGUUUCUACUUGAAGAUAAUUGCCCAGGAAAUGCCGCACGCCAAGAAGA